CCUCAUCCCCCUCACUUGUGGGACACCUUGGACAUCGUAACUUGGUCGUGAGAAGCACUAAUCUAUUGAAUGAGCACCAGCGGGGACACCUGGAAUCCAUGCCGAGCACCACACAAACAUUUUUCAUGAAAAUUCCUCCAUCCUCAGAAAUGGGAUGAAUCAUUUUUACCUACUAAACCCAGAAUAAUUUUCGAUGUGAUGACAAGUAAUGGAAGAAGGGGCUCUGCAUGAUUCUGUGCCUAACCGAGUAGUCUAAUAACCAAGACUGAUGAUGCAAAGCCAAUGACCUAUUUAACGCUUCAUCCUUGCACCCUGACUUCUGCUCAGCAGUCUGAAGCAGCCCAGAGGACCUGAACCAGACGACUCGUUGAGGAAGUAAGUAAACUACCCCUACCCACGUCACGGCCCCCCUAUACAGAAGUGAGAGUAACUUCAAAAUUGGGUGGAAGGGUUUGCUACAAAGGCCUUUGGCCUCUUCCUGCCCAUGUUAAGCAACUCAGGCACACACUACUAGUGUCCUGGCAAGAAACUCUCUCACAAGAGCUGGAAGAAGACCAAAGAAGGCCAGAGCCUCCAAACAGAAGCUCAGUAGCAAAAGUGUUGGAGGGAGAGAAAUGAGGCAAUUACCCUGGGCUUACGGGCAGGUGACUCAGCACGCCUGCAAGAGAGGAGCUGUUGAUUCUGCAGGAGCUGGGGUUCGUGCUACCAUGGGGCUGGUGGAGAGGAAGAGGGAGGUUUACUCCUCAAGAAAAAGGGCAUGGUCCGGAGUGCAAAAAAGGAAAUGGCUUUCUCCGCCAAGGGAUUUCUGGUUUCUCCAUCCUUGCCUAGGGUUAAACCCUGUGAAAAAGAAAAUGCCCAGCAGGUGGCAGCACCUGACAACUGCAGUAAAACAAGGCUGUAAGGCAAAGCCUUCCUCUGGCGUAUGCUGCACUGUGCCUUUCUCGGUGGGAUUUCAUUUAGCCAUCCGUGAAUAGCUCCCUACAAAGAAGUGAACAUUGAGUUCAUUUCUGUGUUUCCAGAACCUAGCACCGUGCCUGGCACAUUCUGCGUGUAUCUGUUGAUUGAGUGGAUCAAGUAAUCAAUUAUUUCUUUUUCAAUAAAUAAAAUUUUAAAAUUCCCCUAAACGAGAAAAAAGUCGUCAUUUGAAGUGGCCCUAUUCCUUUCUUCUUAUCCCAUCACUACUACUGUCAUGUUAAUUACAAAUUUAAUUAGUUUUAGCAAUAAUAAUAACAAAGCCCCAUGCUAGAUUAAUUCUCUACUCACCCUUGGGCCAACCUACAUCCUUAUUCUACUUAAUUAAACUUUCCCUGUCUGCAAGAGGGAGGAGAGAUGGGGGUAUAGGUAUGUGUAUACCUGAUUCACUUUAUUAUACAGCAGAAACUAACACACCAUUGUAAAGCAAUUAUACUCCAAUAAAGAUGUUAAAAAAACUUUUUCCUGUCUCUUUCAGAGACUUUAAAAAAAUCAUGGGGUUUUAAAAAAAAACCCUGAGAUUUAUGAGGAAGGCAAUAAACAAUCAUUCGUUGAUUAGUUGUAGUUUUUAUAAGCUAUUUUUGUUGUUUUGUUUUUGUAUUUAUUUUUGGCUGUGUUGGGUCUUUGUUGCUGUGCACGGGCUUUCUCUAGUUGCAACAAGCGGGAGCUACUCUUCAUUGUGGUGCGCGGGCUUCUCAUUGCCGUGGCUUCUAUUGUUGCGGAGCACGGGCUCUAGGCACAUGGGCUUCAGUAGUUGUGGCACACGGGCUCAGUAGUUGUGGCUUGCAGGCUCUAGAGCGCAGGCUCAGUAGUUGUGGCGCACGGGCUUAGUUGCUCCACGGUAUGUGGGAUCUUCCCGGACCAGGGCUUGAACCUGUGUCCCCUGCAUUGGCAGGCAGGUUCUUAACCA